rnacentral:rRNA from 1 species
UACGUAGGGUGCAGGCGUUAAUCGGAAUUACUGGGCGUAAAGCGUGCGCAGGCGGUUUGCUAAGACAGGUGUGAAAUCCCCGGGCUUAACCUGGGAACUGCGCUUGUAACUGGCAAGCUGGAGUGUGGCAGAGGGGGGUGGAAUUCCACGUGUAGCAGUGAAAUGCGUAGAGAUGUGGAGGAACACCGAUGGCGAAGGCAGCCCCCUGGGCUAACACUGACGCCUCAUGCACGAAAGCGUGGGGAGCAAACAGG